rnacentral:rRNA from 1 species
CCAAUAGCGUAUAUUAAAGUUGUUGCAGUUAAAAAGCUCGUAGUUGAAUUUCGGGAUCAAUAUGUCUGUCGUGCCUUCGGUACGUACGGGUCUAAUUGGUUUCUACCUUCUGAUGAACCUUGGUGCCAUUAAUUUGGUGUCUUGGGGACUCAGGACUGUUACCUUGAAAAAAUUAGAGUGUUUAAAGCAGGCAUACGCUUGAAUACAUUAGCAUGGAAUAAUGAAAUAAGACGUUCGAUUCUAUUUUGUUGGUUUCUAGGAUCGACGUAAUGAUUAAUAGGGAUAGUUGGGGGCAUUAGUAUUCAAUUGUCAGAGGUGAAAUUCUUGGAUGUUUUUAAGACUAACUACUGCGAAAGCAUUUGCCAAGGAUGUUUUCAUUAAUCAAGAACGAAAGUUAGGGGAUCGAAGACGAUCAGAUACCGUCGUAGUCUUAACCAUAAACUAUGCCGACUAGGGACCGGAUGAUGUUAAUUUUUUAAUGACUCAUUCGGCGCCUUACG